rnacentral:rRNA from 1 species
UACAUGUGGGGCAAGCGUUGUUCGGAAUUACUGGGCAUAAAGGGUGCGUAGGCGGUUUGUUAAGUCACUGGUGAAAGUUUUCGGCCCAACCGGAAAAUUGCCUGUGAUACUGGCGAACUUGAGUGCGUGAGGGGUGGGGGGAACGAGCAGUGUAGCGGUGAAAUGCGUAGAUAUGCGGAGGAACACCGAUGGCGAAGGCAAUCCCCUGGGCCUGCACUGACGCUCAUGCACGAAAGCGUGGGGAGCAAACAGG